AGUGAACGCUGGCGGUAGGCCUAACACAUGCAAGUCGAACGGCAGCACAGUAAGAGCUUGCUCUUACGGGUGGCGAGUGGCGGACGGGUGAGGAAUACAUCGGAAUCUACUUUUUCGUGGGGGAUAACGUAGGGAAACUUACGCUAAUACCGCAUACGACCUACGGGUGAAAGCAGGGGAUCUUCGGACCUUGCGCGAUUGAAUGAGCCGAUGUCGGAUUAGCUAGUUGGGGGGGUAAAGGCCCACCAAGGCGACGAUCCGUAGCUGGUCUGAGAGGAUGAUCGGCCACACGGGAACGGAGACACGGUCCAGACUCCUACGGGAGGCAGCAGUGUGGAAUAUUGGACAAUGGUCGCAAGCCUGAUCCAGCCAGACCGCGUGGGUGAAGAAGGCCUUCGGGUUGUAAAGCCCUUUUGUUGGGAAAGAAAAGCAGCAGGUUAAUACCCCGCUGUUCUGACGGUACCCAAAGAAUAAGCACCGGCUAACUUCGUG
rnacentral:rRNA from 1 species